UACGGAGGGUGCAAGCAUUAAUCGGAUUUACUGGGCGUAAAGGGCGCGUAGGCGGCAGAUCAAGUCAGAUGUGAAAUUCCAGAGCUCAACUUUGGAGCUGCAUCUGAAACUGGUCAGCUUGAGGGUAGACGGAGAAAAUGGAAUUCCACAUGUAGCGGUGAAAUGCGUAGAUAUGUGGAGGAACACCGGUGGCGAAAGCGGUUUUCUAGUUUAUACCUGACGCUGAGGCGCGAAAGCAAGGGGAGCAAACAGG
rnacentral:rRNA from 1 species